rnacentral:lncRNA from 1 species
CCCGAGAGCUCUGGGCCUUCAGCAAGCCUCAGCUGCUCCCAUCCCCUGGACUCACCUUUUAAAGCUUAUUCUGUCUCUUUCUAACUCCUUUGUCUCUGCCGGACUCCGGGUACCCUCUGGGUGGUGUGGGGCUGGUUUCCCCCAACAGUAAACAAGAUGAGUCUUCUUGGAAGAAGAAACUGAGUUUAACCCUGAAUACUUGACCUACAAGGCUUGGUUGCUGGGCUAAUUCAUAGUGAAGAGGAUCACGCUAUUCAACGUACAGACACAGCUGCCAAGGCCUCAAGUUAGAGUGGAUUCUAUCAUCUCUGAAAAUGGGAUCUGUAAUGCCAUCUUGAGGUGUUCUGUGGAGGAAGGAGGAGAGACCAUCACAUAUGAGUGGACAUCAAUGGGACCAGGGGCUGCUGUGUCCCACGUGGGGUCAGUCCUCUAUGGCUCCUGAAGCCUUCAUGACCUGGAUUGGAUCUACACUUGCACAGCUCUGAAUCCUGUUAGCUACAGCAACUCUACUCUUACCCUUGCUGCACAGCUUUGUGCAAGUUCCAAGGCAGCUGAAGGCACCUAUUGCCCAGUGAAAUGGAUUUUCCUGGGGAACAGGCUUCUUCUCCUUGUGUUCCUUGGUGUCCUACGAACUUGGCAUAUUCAGGCACAGGUGCUCAGCAAACCCUUGAGGCCUAACUCAGGGUAAUAAGAGGCCACCAGUACCCCAGGAGAGCCAGGCUGUGCCCAACUGAGGCCAUUACUUUUCUGUGGCUCAACUAAAUUACAUUUAUUGACCCGUACUCUUUUCAAGGUGAAGUACUAUGGAUUGUCAAAGGCCAUUGGGAUAAAUUUUUUUAUUUUGUCAUGUCUGAGCCCAUGUACAUGCUUAUUUUUUUUUUUUAAAAGAAGAAGUUUGGUCAAGAAGAGAUAAAAUAACUGCACGAACACCAUAUGUUAUCUAUUCUAAGCAUAUUUUUUCUCCACAAUUUAAGGUUUCUGAAAUCAAGAUAAGUCAUAAUAUAAAUGUAUACAGCUAAAAGGAAUAGGGUGUUUUUCUCCCAAAAUAUCAUUAUUAAAAUGAUCUGC